rnacentral:rRNA from 1 species
AGAACGAACGCUGGCGGCAUGCCUAACACAUGCAAGUCGAACGAGACCUUCGGGUCUAGUGGCGCACGGGUGCGUAACGCGUGGGAAUCUGCCCUUGGGUACGGAAUAACUCAGAGAAAUUUGAGCUAAUACCGUAUGAUGACGUAAGUCCAAAGAUUUAUCGCCCAAGGAUGAGCCCGCGUAGGAUUAGCUUGUUGGUGAGGUAAAGGCUCACCAAGGCGACGAUCCUUAGCUGGUCUGAGAGGAUGAUCAGCCACACUGGGACUGAGACACGGCCCAGACUCCUACGGGAGGCAGCAGUGGGGAAUAUUGGACAAUGGGCGAAAGCCUGAUCCAGCAAUGCCGCGUGAGUGAUGAAGGCCUUAGGGUUGUAAAGCUCUUUUACCCGGGAAGAUAAUGACUGUACCGGGAGAAUAAGCCCGGCUAACUCCGUGCCAGCAGCCGC